CGGACGGGUGAGUAAUGCCUAGGAAUCUGCCUGGUAGUGGGGGACAACGUUUCGAAAGGAGCGCUAAUACCGCAUACGUCCUACGGGAGAAAGCAGGGACCUUCGGGCCUUGCGCUAUCAGAUGAGCCUAGGUCGGAUUAGCUAGUUGGUGAGGUAAUGGCUCACCAAGGCGACGAUCCGUAACUGGUCUGAGAGGAUGAUCAGUCACACUGGAACUGAGACACGGUCCAGACUCCUACGGGAGGCAGCAGAC
rnacentral:rRNA from 1 species